GACGAACGCUGGCGGCGUGCCUAAUACAUGCAAGUCGAACGCUGAAGCUUGGUGUUUGCACCGAGCGGAUGAGUCGCGAACGGGUGAGUAACGCGUAGGUAACCUGCCUGGUAGCGGGGGAUAACUAUUGGAAACGAUAGCUAAUACCGCAUAAGAGUAGAUGUUGCAUGACGUUUGCUUAAAAUGUGCAAUUGCAUUACUACCACAUGGACCUGCGUUGUUUUAGCUAGUUGGUGAGGUAACGGCUCACCAAGGCAACGGUACAUAGCCGACCUGCGAGGGUGGUCGGCCACACUGGGAGUGUGACACGGCCCAUUGGCCUACGGGAGGCAGCAGGAGGGAAACUUCGGGAAUGGACGGGAGUCUUACCGAGCUGCGCCGCGGGAGUGAAGAAGGUUGUCGGAUCGUAGAGCUCUGUUUUAAGAGAAGAACGAGUGUGAGAGUGGAAAGUACACACUGUGACGGUAGCUGACCAGAAAGGGACGGCUAACUACGUG
rnacentral:rRNA from 1 species